AUUGAACGCUAGCGGGAUGCCUUACACAUGCAAGUCGAACGGAGUGGCGGACGGGUGAGUAAUGUCUCGGAACCUGCCUAGUAGCGGGGGAUAACUACUAGAAACGGUGGCUCAUACCGCAUACUAUCGGAUCUGCCCAUAUGGGAUUCGCUAUUUGGUGGGGUAAAGGCUCACCAAGGCGACGCUCCCUAGCUGGUUUGAGAGGAUGACCAGCCACACUGGGACUGAGACACGGCCCAGACUCCUACGGGAGGCAGCAGUGGGGAAUAUUGGACAAUGGGGGAAACCCUGAUCCAGCCAUCCCGCGUGUAUGAUGAAGGCCUUCGGGUUGUAAAGUACUUUUGGCGGAGAAGCGGUAUCUGCAGAAGAAGCACCGGCUAACUACGUGCCAGCAGCCGCGGUAAUAC
rnacentral:rRNA from 1 species